AGAAAGAGAUAGGAAGAACUUGACAUUAAUUUUGAUAGUUUUUUCUUUCCAAGUUUGAUCCUAGAAAUGGGGGGGGGGGGUGAGGAAAGUGGGGAAAGUAAUUAGGGAGAACUAAGGUCAACUGCUCUUUCACAGACCCACUGAAUAUAACCCUUUAGCUCUGGCCUCUCAGUCUCCUGAGGAAUUCUGCACCCUGUCCCUGCCCCCAUCAUUGGCUCUUAGUUUAAUUUAUUGAAAUUUAUGAGUAGUUUAGUUCCUACUCAAUAGCUGAGUUGGAGGGGGAGGGGAAGAAUUUAUGAUAAGAGGAAAAGACAGUGACAAAGGGAACCAGAACCACUAGUUUUUGUAGUGGGUAAUCACAGAUUGUACGUUGGGGGAAGGGGGCUACGUAAGCUAUGGGGGGAGGGAGUUGACUCUGCUGGAAUUAGGCUCGCUGACUCAGCACCUGAUGCUGCCCAGCCUGGCUUGGGCCUCUGCCGUGUCUGCCUGGUCAUCUGUGCCACUAAUCAGACUGCCACAAGCCUGUCUUUCUGGGGAACCAGAAAUCAGGGGACUCCAGUCCUUCUCCUUCUCCAGUCCUUAUUAGCAUUAAGGACCCCGGACUUCCAAACUGGGGAGGAAAGAUUAUAGUAGUGCACACAAAGGAUGCGUGUAACUGAAGGACCGAGUGGGCAGAACCAAGACAUCCAGCAGACUCGGAAAAUUCGAGGACUAGGUCUCCCGGAAUGAGUUAUGUCACCGGUUAGAGAGAGACGGGAAUGAAGGUUGAAAAAGAACCAAGA